rnacentral:rRNA from 1 species
UAAGGUCCCCAAUUCGUGCUUAGUGGUUUGAAGGAUGUGAUGUUGCAUAAACAGCCAGGAUGUUGGCUUAGAGGCAGCCAUCAUUUAAAGAGUGCGUAAUAGCUCACUGGUCAAGUGGCUCUGCGCCGAAAAUGUAACGGGGCUAAGCCUGUCACCGAAGCCGCGGAUCUGAGAAGUGAGAGGUGAGAGGUUGGAAGUGAGAGAGAAAAUAAGCUCAUUUAACAACCUGAAAGUGUAUCAAAAAAGUUAUCAAUUAGCUUUGGAGAUACACAAGAUAACGAGAACAUUUCCAGACAUUGAAAGAUAUGAGCUUGGCACACAACUACGCAGGUCGGCGGUAUCUAUACCGGCAAACAUAGCCGAAGGAUAUGGCCGGAAAAAAUCCAAUGCGGAAUUCAAGCAUUUCUUGCGAAAUGCACUGGGUUCAUGUAACGAAGUUCAAGUGCUGUUAAGCCUAUCAAAAGACCUGGGUUAUAUUGCAGAUGACGAAUAUGUACAGCAAUAUGAUGAGCUGGGAAAACAAAUCUAUCGACUAAUAGAGGUCUGGAAAUAAAAUCUCACAUCUAACUUCUCACAUCUCACCUCUCAGAUGGUAGGGGAGCGUUGUAUGUGCGACGAAGGAGUACCGUAAGGAGCUGUGGAGCGCAUACAAGUGAGAAUGCCGGUAUAAGUAAACGCAAAGGCAGGUGAGAAUCCUGCCCGCCGAAAACCUAAGGAUUUCUGGGGAAGGCUCGUCCGCCCAGAGUAAGCCGGGGCCUAAGCCGAGGCGAAAAGCGUAGGCGAUGGGGAAUCGGUUGAGAAUCCGAUGCCACUUACAGCCGUUUGGAGGAUGGGGUGACACAGGAGGGUAAGCUAAGCGCGCGGAUGGAAAAGCGCGUCCAAGGUGGUAGGGUGAGAGAUAGGCAAAACCGUCUCUUGAAAAGCCCGAGAACUGAAGGGGAGCGAAAACAAGUAGCGAAGUAGCCGAACCCAAACUGUCGAGAAAAACCCCUAACGAGGCAAGUAAGUGCCCGUACCGCAAACCGACACAGGUAGGUGGGGUGAGAAUCCUAAGGCGCGCGAGAGAACCCUCGUUAAGGAACUCGGCAAAAUAACCCCGUAACUUCGGGAGAAGGGGUACCCCGUUAGCGUGAAGGGUGAACACUUGGAGCGCGAGGGGGUCGCAGAGAAAGGGCCCAAGCGACUGUUUAGCAAAAACACAGGUCUCUGCUAAAUCGAAAGAUGACGUAUAGGGGCUGACGCCUGCCCGGUGCUGGAAGGUUAAGGGGAGAGCUUAGGGGAAACCCGAAGGUUUGAACCGAAGCCCCAGUAAACGGCGGCCGUAACUAUAACGGUCCUAAGGUAGCGAAAUUCCUUGUCGGGUAAGUUCCGACCCGCACGAAAGGCGUAACGAUUUGGGCGCUGUCUCAACGAGGGACUCGGUGAAAUUGUAAUGCCGGUGAAGAUGCCGGCUACCUGCGACAGGACAGAAAGAC